rnacentral:rRNA from 1 species
AUUGAACGCUGGCGGCAGGCCUAACACAUGCAAGUCGAACGAGUGGCGGACGGGUGAGUAAUGUCUGGGAAACUGCCUGAUGGAGGGGGAUAACUACUGGAAACGGUAGCUAAUACCGCAUACCAUCAGAUGUGCCCAGCUGGGAUUAGCUAGUAGGUGGGGUAAUGCCUCACCUAGGCGACGAUCCCUAGCUGGUCUGAGAGGAUGACAAGACACAGUGGAACUGAGACAGGGUCCAGAUGCCUAGUGGAGGCAGCAGUGGAGAAUAUUGCACAAUGGGCGCCAGCCUGAUGCAGCCAUGCCGCGUGUGUGAAGAAGGCCUUCGGGUUGUAAAGCACUUUCAGCGAGGAGGCGUUACUCGCAGAAGAAGCACCGGCUAACUCCGUGCCAGCAGCCGCGGUAAUAC